UCAAACUUGGUCAUUUAGAGGAAGUAAAAGUCGUAACAAGGUCUCCGUUGGUGAACCAGCGGAGGGAUCAUUACUGAGUCUCGUACUCCCAAACCCCCUGUGAACUAUACCUGUAUCGUUGCCUCGGCGGAACCACCGCGCGCUGCCGCAGGGCGCGGCCCGCCAGAGGACCCCCAAACCUGUGUGACAACUGUAUCUUCUGAGUUUAAAAAAACAAACUAUUACAACUUUCAACAACGGAUCUCUUGGCUCUGGCAUCGAUGAAGAACGCAGC
rnacentral:misc_RNA from 1 species